rnacentral:ribozyme from 1 species
CAUAUCAUAAGUUCUGUGAAAGGGUUGGAUCCGACGCCUCUAGAAGGCUACUAUAGGCUCUCCUUCUCAACUCCUACUCAAUACGUCCACG